AUUGAACGCUGGCGGUAUGCUUAACACAUGCAAGUCGAACGGCAGCACGUUGCUUCUUUUCGGAGAAGUAAUGGUGGCGAGUGGCGGACGGGUGAGUAACGCGUAGGAAUCUACCCUAAAGUGGGGGAUAACCCCGGGGAAACUCGGGCUAAUACCGCAUAAUCUCUACGGAGCAAAGCUGGGGACCAGAGUUUACUUUGGCCUGGCGCUAUAGGAUGAGCCUGCGUCGGAUUAGCUAGUUGGUGGGGUAAUGGCCUACCAAGGUGACGA
rnacentral:rRNA from 1 species